AGAGUUUGAUCCUGGCUCAGAAUGAACGCUGGCGGCGUGCUUAACACAUGCAAGUCGUACGAGAACACUCUAGCUUGCUAGGGUAAGUAAAGUGGCGCACGGGUGAGUAACGCGUGGGUAAUCUACCUUCGAAUUGGGGAUAACGUUGCGAAAGCGACGCUAAUACCGAAUAACAUCCAUUAAUCUUCGGGUUUUUGGAUCAAGGGUGGCCUCUACAUGUAAGCUACUGUUUGAAGAUGAGCCCGCGUACCAUUAGCUUGUUGGUGGGGUAAAGGCCUACCAAGGCUUCGAUGGUUAGCUGGUCUGAGAGGAUGAUCAGCCACACUGGAACUGACACACGGUCCAGACUCCUACGGGAGGCAGCAGUGAGGAAUUUUGCGCAAUGGGGGAAACCCUGACGCAGCAACGCCGCGUGAGUGAUGAAGGCUUUCGGGUCGUAAAGCUCUGUCAAGUGGGAAGAGCCUGCAGUAUGCUAAUAUCAUAUUGCACUGACGGUACCACUGAAGGAAGCACCGGCUAACUCCGUGCCAGCAGCCGCGGUAAUACGGGGGGUGCAAGCGUUAUUCGGAAUCAUUGGGCGUAAAGAGCACGUAGGCGGCCUGGUAAGUCAGAUGUGAAAGCCCGGGGCUUAACCCCGGAAGUGCAUUUGAUACUGUCAGGCUUGAGUAUGGGAGAGGGAAGUGGAAUUCCUGGUGUAGAGGUGAAAUUCGUAGAUAUCAGGAGGAACACCGGUGGCGAAGGCGACUUCCUGGACCAAUACUGACGCUGAGGUGCGAAGGCGUGGGUAGCAAACAGGAUUAGAUACCCUGGUAGUCCACGCAGUAAACGUUGUUCACUAGGUGUAGCGGGUAUUGACCCCUGCUGUGCCGCAGUUAACGCAUUAAGUGAACCGCCUGGA
rnacentral:rRNA from 1 species